GGAGGGGGCGAGCGUUAUUCGGAUUUACUGGGCGUAAAGCGCACGUAGGCGGCUAGGUAUGUCAAAGGUGAAAGCCCUCGACUCAACCGAGGAACUGCCUUUGAAACUGCUUGGCUUGAGUCCGGGAGAGGGGAGCGGAAUUCCCAGUGUAGCGGUGAAAUGCGUAGAUACUGGGAGGAACACCGGUGGCGAAGGCGGCUCCCUGGACCGGCACUGACGCUGAGGUGCGAAGGCGUGAGUAGCAAACAGGAUUAGAUACCCUGGUAGUCCACGCCGUAAACGAUGGGCACUAGGUGCAGCGGGUGUCGACCCCCUGCUGUGCCGAAGCUAACGCAUUAAGUGCCCCGCCUGGGGAGUACGGUCGCAAGGCUG
rnacentral:rRNA from 1 species